GGACGUGUAGCUCAGUUGGAUAGAGCAUCGGUUUCCUAAACCGGAGGUCAUAAGUUCGAAUCUUAUCACGUCUG
rnacentral:tRNA from 1 species